GACGAACGCUGGCGGCGUGCUUAACACAUGCAAGUCGAACGGAAAGGCCCUGCUGUUGUGGGGUGCUCGAUUGGCGAACGGGUGAUUAACACUUGAGUAACCUGCCCUUGACUUUGUGAUACCUUCAGGAAACUGGCGCUAAUACCGGAUAGGAGAUCCUGCUGCAUUGUGGGGGUUGGAAAGUUUCGGCGGUUGGGGAUGGACUCGCGGCUUAUCAGCUUGUUGGUGGGGUAGUGGCUUACCAAGGCUUUGACGGGUAGCCGGCCUGAGAGGGUGACCGGACACAUUGGGACUGAGAUACGGCACAGACUACUACGGGAGGGAGCAGUGGGGAAGAUUGCACAAUGGGAGGAAGGCUGAUGCAGCAACGCCGCGUGCGGGAUGACGGCAUUCGGGUUGUAUACCGCUUUCGCCUGGGACGAAGAGUGAGUGACGGUAAUGGGUAAAGAAGCACCGGCUAACUACGUG
rnacentral:rRNA from 1 species